rnacentral:rRNA from 1 species
UACGUAGGUGACAAGCGUUGUCCGGAUUUACUGGGCGUAAAGAGCGCGCAGGCGGUCGAUCAAGUCGAGUGUGAAAGCCCCCGGCUCAACUGGGGAGGGUCAUUCGAUACUGAUCGACUCGAAGGCAGGAGAGGGUAGUGGAAUUCCCGGUGUAGUGGUGAAAUGCGUAGAUAUCGGGAGGAACACCAGUGGCGAAGGCGACUACCUGGCCUGUUCUUGACGCUGAGGCGCGAAGGCCAGGGGAGCAAAGCGGG